rnacentral:rRNA from 1 species
GUCGAACGGAUUAUUCUUUAUAGCUUGCUAUGGGGACAAUUAGUGGCAGACGGGUGAGUAAUGCAUAGGAAUCUACCUAGUAGUAUAGGAUAGCCACUAGAAGUGGUGGGUAAUACUGUAUAAUCCCUGCGGGGGAAAGAUUUAUCGCUACAUGAUGAGCCUAUGUUAGAUUAGCUAGUUGGUGGGGUAAAGGCCUACCAAGGCAGUGAUCUAUAGCUGGUCUGAGAGGAUGAUCAGCCACACUGGAACUGAGACACGGUCCAGACUCCUACGGGAGGCAGCAGUGGGGAAUAUUGGACAAUGGGCGAAAGCCUGAUCCAGCUAUGCCGCGUGAGUGAGGAAGGCCUUAGGGUUGUAAAACUCUUUCAGUAGGGAAGAUAAUGACGGUACCUAUA